rnacentral:rRNA from 1 species
UACGGAGGAUGCGAGCGUUAUCCGGAUUUAUUGGGUUUAAAGGGUGCGUAGGCGGGAUGCCAAGUCAGCGGUAAAAAUGCGGUGCUCAACGCCGUCGAGCCGUUGAAACUGGCGUUCUUGAGUGGGCGAGAAGUAUGCGGAAUGCGUGGUGUAGCGGUGAAAUGCGUAGAUAUUAGGAAGAACACCAGUGGCGAAGGCGAUUCUCUGGACUGUAACUGACGCUGAGGCUCGAAAGCGUGGGGAGCAAACAGG